rnacentral:rRNA from 1 species
AUUGAACGCUGGCGGCAUGCCUUACACAUGCAAGUCGAACGGCAGCACGGGUGCUUGCACCUGGUGGCGAGUGGCGCACGGGUGAGUAAUACAUCGGAACAUGUCCUGUAGUGGGGGAUAGCCCGGCGAAAGCCGGAUUAAUACCGCAUACGAUCUACGGAUGAAAGCGGGGGCCCUUCGGGCCUCGCGCUAUAGGGUUGGCCGAUGGCUGAUUAGCUAGUUGGUGGGGUAAAGGCCUACCAAGGCGACGAUCAGUAGCUGGUCUGAGAGGGCGACCAGCCACACUGGAACUGAGACACGGCCCAGACUCCUGCGGGAGGCAGCAGUGGGGAAUUUUGGACAAUGGGCGAAAGCCUGAUCCAGCAAUGCCGCGUGUGUGAAGAAGGCCUUCGGGUUGUAAAGCACUUUUGUCCGGAAAGAAAUCCUUGGCCCUAAUACGGGCGGGUGAUGACGGUACCGGAAGAAUAAGCACCGGCUAACUACGUG